rnacentral:rRNA from 1 species
GAUGAACGCCGGCGGCGUGCCUAAUACAUGCAAGUCGAACGCGAAAGUCCUUCGGGAUGAGUAAAGUGGCGCACGGGUGAGUAAUACAUGGGAACAUGCCCUUGGAUGGGGAAUAACGUUUGGAAACGAACGCUAAUACCGCAUAAUCUCGCGAGAGUAAAGGUGGCGCCGCAAGGGCUACCGUCCAAGGAUUGGCCCAUGUCCCAUUAGCUAGUUGGCGGGGUAAUGGCCCACCAAGGCAACGAUGGGUAACUGGUCUGAGAGGAUGAUCAGUCACACUGGAACUGAGACACGGUCCAGACUCCUACGGGAGGCAGCAGUAGGGAAUAUUGCACAAUGGGGAAAACCUGAUGCAGCAACGCCGCGUGAGUGAAGAAGGCCCUUGGGUUGUAAAGCUCUUUAGCGUGGGAAGAAGGUAGAUAUGGUGAAUAAUCAUGUUUGCUGACGGUACCACGAGAAUAAGCACCGGCUA